rnacentral:rRNA from 1 species
UGGGGAAUAUUGCGCAAUGGGGGAAACCCUGACGCAGCGACGCCGUGUGAGGGAAGAAGGCUUUCGGGUCGUAAACCUCUGUCAGAAAGGAAGAACCUCCCAAGUCCGAAUAGGGCUUGGGACUGACGGUACUUUCAAAGGAAGCACCGGCUAACUCCGUGCCAGCGGCCGCGGUAAUACGGAGGGUGCAAGCGUUAAUCGGAAUCACUGGGCGUAAAGCGCGCGUAGGCCGCUUUGUAAGUCGGACGUGAAAGCCCUCGGCUCAACCGGGGAACUGCGUUAGAUACUGCGAGGCUUGAGUCCUGGAGAGGGUGGCGGAAUUCCGGGUGUAGGAGUGAAAUCCGUAGAUAUCCGGAGGAACACCGGUGGCGAAGGCGGCCACCUGGACAGGUACUGACGCU